ensembl:ncRNA D2089.6 ncRNA
UCAGUGAGAAAGACUUCUCAUUGCUCCCUUGCAGAGUAUGUGCGGUAGGAGAGAAGGACGGGGAGCGACCCGAGAAAGUCUCAAUUAUUUGCGAAAGCAAUACAGAAAUCUGAUUGUUCCCCCCUACCACAACUAUCGGCGGCUCUCUUG